GGUUGGCAAAUAUAUUUUUGGAGGUGAUCAUGUCUUUAAUGCUGUGGAUAAAUUGAAAAGAAAUAUGCUUUUGAAAAUGUUAUAGUGGAAAAGGCACCUGUCUCAUACAGUAGAAUGACACUUCACUCAUUCUCAUCACAGAUGCCUUGUAAGACCAUCACAUUUCAAACUUGCAUAUGACGUGUUUCGGGGCGUGCCUUCUUCAGUGUGCAGACUGAAGUGCACACUGAAGAAGGCACGCGCCAAAACGCGUCUGUGCAAAUAAAAGUGUAUGCAUAGUGCGGACUCUCUCCUACUUUACUUUACGUAUUCUAGGCCAGCACUCUUAAAGUAUAAAAGUAGACACAUCGAGUGAAGCCUGCUCCUAUCCUCACUAAACUUGCAUAUGAAAAAUAUAAGGCAUGUUGUGCUAUAC